CGCAGCACAUCGUUGUAGUUGGUCUGCUCCUUUUGGAAGUUUAUAGAGAAUUUUGCUCUUUUUGAAUUUAGUAUUUAUAGUUUCAUAUUAUAAUACUUGGUGUAUUUGUCCAUAAGUCCCUUGGCAAAGGAGCAUUAAAAACAAAGGUUUUACAUAACUAAUUCUCAUUUUUUUCAUUUUAAUAUGAUUCUUUGGCCUCUGAUUUCUUAGCUUUCUACCCUCUUUGGCAUUUUCUCCCAUCCCCGGAAGAAAAAUGACCCUUGGGUCAGUCAACUGACACACCAGCAAACCUUCCCGUCCUGAAAUGUUUCCGGAAAAAUCUGUUCAUGUACAUCGACUCAGAGCAGCAUCACUGAUCAUUCAGCUUCGCGACUAAAUUUUUCUUUCAGAUACACAUUUACACAGCUUCUGCUCUCAGUCAUAUCAAAUUUUAAAUGGUGCUUGAAAUUUCUGAUACUGUAAGGAACAGUGGAAAGUGCAGUGAACGUGGAAUCAGAUAAAACUUGAUUUGAUUCUUGGCUUCGUUAUGUGCAAGCUGUGUAACCUCUCUAAACCACAGAUUCCUCACUUGUAAAAUUCAAAUCAUAAAUAUCAUCCUUGUGUCCUGCACCGGUACAUACCUUGCAGGAUUUAUGAGUCAAGGUAGGAGCUCUUAGCAAGUGUAUGGUACUUGUAAUUCCUUAUAAAUUCUAGUCACUUAACUGUCAGGAAACCUGGAAGUAAUAGAUUCUCUUUUCACUAGACUUGAUUUAUCAAACAAUUAAUUUUUUUGGCAAUUAAUUCAUCUUGUCUUGAGGAAAGAGCCCACACCCCCCUUUAGGUGGCCGGAAUCAGUGGACUAUCCCAUAUUGAUCAAGUCACGUGGAGGCCUAAAUUAUCUAACUUGGCAAUGGACAUUCCUCAAAGGAAAACAAAAAUGGUUUAUUUUGUAAAAGUAUAAAUUCUUUAUUCUUUUUUGUAGAUUUCAUUUAAAGCUCAUGUCUUACUGGGUUUUGUUAAGCCAUUUUAAAAGAUAGACCAUAGGCUAUGUAACCAGAGAGAAACAAUAAAAAUCCUAGUAUUUCUACUUACUAGCUGUAUGCCUUUGCUCAAGUUGCAUAUUCUUUAUGUCUCAUCUUCCUUACUCAUUAAAUGGGAAUAACAUCACCUACCUUUCAGGGAUUUGUCAUGAUUAAAUGAGGUAACCUAUGUAAAAAUGUUCACCCUUGAGGGUCAUCAAAUAUUAACUUCCUUUCCACUUUUCUGUUCUGCCUCUGGUAUGUGCUACUGAAUAAUAACUUAAAAGACCUCCUGGAUUUAUUUAUUUAUUUAUUUAUGCCUGUGGCAUGCAGAAGUUCCAGGCCAAGGAUUAAACCCACACCAUGGCAGGAACCUGAGCCACAACACUGACAAUGCCAUAUCCUUAAUGGCCAGGCCACUAGGGAACUCCAAAAGGUCUCCAGGAUUUUAGAAGCCAACUUACUCCGUCCUUUGGCCAAAAAUGUUUACCUUGUACUUAGGUCAUUUGCGGUGGUCUAUCAAUCCAUACAAUUUCUGAGUGAUAAUCUUACUUUAAAGUUUUAGCAUGAAAGCAUACAUGUGAUUGCAAUUGUAUAAAUAGAGUAAUUUUGAACCAUUUGGCAUUUCUCUUACUAUUAUUAAAAGAGUAUUUUCAUUGCAAACUGUAAAGCCCAACAUGAUUUCUCCACUCCUUUUGGUCACACUAUGGGUUAUUCAUGUCCUACCUACAGCUUUCCUUAGGUAUCAAGGUGACCCUGGGAGAUAGGUAUGAAAUUGGAAAUGCCCAACGUUUUGGAGUCAGUGAUGACAAGAGUAUGGAAAAAACAUGGAUCCAUUCGAGGGCACCCUCUGCUUGGCCCCAGUUAGGCUUUAUUAUUUAAAGCCUACUGUCAAAUACCUUGGUAAAAAUACAGAUUUGAUAUUCUCGUGUGACUGUUUUGGGGGUCCCAAAGGACCACACUAUGUUAAUCAUUCUGGAAGGAAGUGGAUUAUAACGCGGGAAAUGACUACAUAGGAGACAGGCUUUGUGAUGAAAUAAGAGCAAAACUUUUCCCUUUCCCUGGGGCUGAGAGACAGUUUUGUCUAGCUAUAGCCCACAGAGCGGACCUGAGCCAUUCUGGCAAUGGGGAAGGGAACCUGCCCUUGGUUAUAGGGAGACAGCCACGAGGGCACAGGGGGAUAGCGCUUGAAGGAACACUGUGAGUUGUCCGGGCUCUUGCGGUUUACUCUACAUCAUUCUGUCUUGCUUGUUGCCCUCCCAUGAUCUCUGGGCCAUCUACUAACUCUCAUCAAGAGUGGUAGAAUGAACAUUCUUAUUCUGUGAGAUAUUAAGGGGAAGGGCAUGUUCUAUACUUGAAACAAUAUAAAAAAGGAACAGGUCUAUUGAGUCUCCAGAAAAUAGAGUGGUGAUCACAGGAAGGUAACAGCAAGGAAAACUGAGUACCUGGAAGCAGUGAGCCCUCAGAGGUUGUUGGCAGCAAAGGCACCCAAUGUGGCUCUAAAAGAAGGGGAGACUAGCUGGGUUGAAAGAACAUAGGGACAUCUUUCUGGAGCUGGUGCCCUGGAAAUCAUUGUCAAAACUGUGCAUGUAUUCAAGGGUCUAAUUACCAGCAAGGAAAGCAGUGGAAGCUCUUAUUUUUGGAAAUUGAAUUACACAUUGACUAAAUAGAAUUCAUUUGUAGGCUGUUUCAAAUCAACGUUUGAACAUUUAUAGGAAGAAUUAAGGAAAACGAAUAAUUCAUUUACAAAAAUAUAGUUAAGAGUUCCCAUCAUGGCUCAGUGGUAAGCAACCCGAUGAGUACCCAUGAAGAUGUAGGUUUGAUCACUGGCCCUGCUCAGUGGGUGAAGGAUCUAGCAUUGCCAUGAGCUGUUGCAUAGGCCAGUAGCUGCAGCUCCAAUUCGACCCCUAGCCUAAAAACCUGUGUGUAUAAUAUGUUUUGUAUUAAACUUGGAGGUGAAGUAUUUUAAGCAAGGUCAUACAGGUUGGUAAUGCCUUGCCAUUAGGAAAAAGAAAUUAUUUUCCAGACUGGGGAAUUAAAAAACAUAGUCUGGAAUGGGAAAAAGAGACUGAAGAAAUGGAAUGCCAGAAUGUUUAUUUCCAUGCGGGGUGCAUGGGCACUGGGGGGGAGAGGGAAUUUCGGAGCUGUUCUUUUGUGAAGAUCAUAGAAGAAAGUUUAUAAAAAUAUUUGAUCUAAAGAGAAGGUACAUACUUGAAGCAUUUGCACUGCACAUUUAAUAUCACUUAUAAAAAGCAAAAAUUGUUCAUUAUUCCUUAAUCAGAUUAUCUUCCAGCCUCUGUGAUAGUAUUUCUUCAGCAAGAAUGUACUACUUUAUGUGGCCAGUAUUGAUUAGUUUCCUUUCUUUCCAAUGGAGCUUGAAAUAAACAUUUAUGUUAGCAUUCCUGUAUGCAUGAGGCACUUUUUACUUCUAGGAUUUAACAUUAAACUAACAGAGAAAUACAAAGACUACUUAAAGUUCCAUAUUGUUCCUUAAGAGAAUAUCUCACUGAGUUAAACCCCUUAUUUUAUCAGCCCUCUUCUAGAUACAGAACUUCAAAUAGCUGAAGACUAUUAAGGAUAACAUAAGAUUUUAGCUUUCUACGUUAUCUUGGCAUCUUAUCUGAUUCUCUUAGCCAUUCAGGAAUCCUUUCUGCAUUAUCUCUAAUGUUUCUUCCAUAUCUUCUUAUUCCAUAUAAGUAACACAUUCCAUUUGAGAUGACUCUAGUCAAUUUGACUUUCAUAGACACAUAAAAAUUCUGACCUUUCUGAAGUUUCAGCCAUUAAUCUUCAAAUUUCACAUAGGGAAGACCUGGGAGACUUUACCACCCUCUCUUGCCCCCUUUAGAGACUCAGCAGUCUCCUCUGAACAGCUUUGAACUUUCCUUCUUUUUCAUGGGAGGUUAAGCCCAGUGACCUUUAACAUCUCUGCCUACUCAAAAGGUCUCUGGUUUAUUUGCAAGUCGGGGCGGAGGCGGGGCAUGCUUAAGCUUUGCUGUCACCAGAUUUCUGCUCUAGCUAUGUGAGCCUAUCAACCAAUGCUGGGAGAACUUCACACAUGAUCGCGUAGUCCGGAGCUCAUUCUUAACUGAGAUUCUCAUUUGGGAUGCUUCUUCACUGCGUCUCUGUGGUUGGUCACAAUUAAAGUAGAUGGAGGGAGGUCAUCAACCACGAUGUAGCUGGAUGCAUCCUUUACACUGCCCAGGAAUGCAGCUCAGCGGGAACCACAAGCUCUGAUGAAGAGGAGUGCUCCUCGCACAAGCAACAGAACGCCCCGGGACCGUCUGUAAAAUGAGCAAAGCUACAGCAGAAUUUAAUUAGGAAGUUGAAACAUUGGGCUCAUGGAGGGGUCCUCUUCUCCCAGCUGUGUAGUAUCCCCACAUGUCUGCUGUUUACUUUGACCUGGUGACAUUCUUAGUCAACUCAGCAGGAUGUGAUGUCAAGCCCUUUGAUAACUUGGUGGCAAUGACUCAGUUGUGUGUCAACGGUGUGUUCAGCAACUAUUCUCUGAAUACCUAUUGCCUUCUGGCAUAAUGCUAGAGGCUGUACCAGCUUCAUUUUAUUGUUUUUUUCAUUGCUAACCUGUCAAGUAGGUAUUAUUCCCUGCAGUUUACAGAUAAAGAAACUGAGGCACUGAGAAGGUUAAGAAAAGGGCUCAAAUCACCUGGCUAAUGAGUAGCACUGUGGUACCUUAACACCAACUCCUGUUCUGGUUUCUAGGGCUGCUGCCAUAACAAAUUACACAAACUUCGUGGCUUCAAAGAACAAAAUUUCCUAUCUUACAGGACUAUGAGUCAGAAAUCCAACAUGGCCCCACUGGACUAAAAUCAAGCUAUGCACGGGGCAUCUUUGCUUUCUGGAGGCUCUUUGGGAGAACUGGCUUUCUUGCCUUUACCAGCUUCUGGAGACCAUUCCAUUCCUUGAUUUGCAGCCUUCAUUUUCCAUCUUCAAAGCUAGCAACACAGCAUCCCUCUGACCCUGCUUCCAUUCACACAUCUCUUUCUCUCCCCAGCUGGGGAAGGUUGUCAGAUUGUAAAGACCUAUGAGAAAAGACUGAGCCUAAGCGAAUCUCUGCAUCUCAAGCUUCUUAUCUGCAUUUUCAAAGUCCCUUUGCCGUGUAAUGUAUCCUAUUAACAAAUUCCUGAGAUGAGGACAUGCACAUUUAAGGGGCACUAUUCUACCUACCUCCCCUCCUUUUUAUUCCAUUCCCAUAAAUCUACUGCUCCAGACCACCUACGAGCCUUCUUCAAAAUUUUGUGGCAUGUCCAGCCUCUAACCUCUUCCUGACAAAUGGUGAAUACUCAAUAAAUAUUUUUGAAUAAAUGAAUAAAUAUACUAAAAUACCAGGAUUUGGAAGUGUUGCUUCAUUGCACCAAAUGGACUAAUAAUGAUUGAUUCGAGGGGUAAUUGUUUGUAACAUCAUUCUAGACUCUUAAAUUGGAGGAUAAAGGUUAAUCAGUUUUCCCAGAGGAGCAGAGAUGCUUACUCGGUGUGUAGUUGAAGCAACAAGAUGUGCUCUUGCUGUACAGCUCUGGCUAAUUAGUUGACAGCAUUGCUAACGCAUGUAUUAUUGGGAAUAUUAUGGAUGCAACUGAUCUCUGCUUUAAGGGUAAUCCCUUUGGUCUGGAAUCCUUCCGGGAAAAGAGUAUUCAGAAACUUCAAGUAAGCUAAAAAACUCAAACAGAAAGCACUGAUGAAGUUUUCCUUAUAAUAAGGUUUUCUUUUUUUUCUUCUUUCAAGGGUAGACUACAUAUAAGCAAUUAGUCAGGAUGCCAGAAAAUUAGCCCCUUAUGUAUGCACAGUAAUUGAAGUCAGGGGGAAUACUGCAGAAUUGCUUCCCUGAAUUAAACUCUUGGUGUUAUCUAGCACUAGAGGGGAAAAAGUAAAGUCUGACAAUUUGGUAAAAAGUCAUUGUUUCUGGUAUUAAGCUUCACUGGGCAUGGGGUGGUGUAGGAACCCUAGAGGAGAUGGUGGAAGAAAGGUGGGCUUCUUGACACGCUGGGUAGACCUAUCUGAAUGCUGAGACUUCAGGAUGGAGUUGGAGCCAGUAGGCUCCCUGGAUACCACUACAAGCAAUUGCAACCAGUCCUAAACCAGUUUUUAGACAAAGUGUGAAAUUAGAUCAAGAACCAUCAGGGUCCGCAACAAAAUAAUACUUUGACCAGGAUUUGCCAUUUUUGUGUAGUUAAGGAAUCUCUUUUGAACAGGGAGUGAGAGAUGGUGCAGUGCUUUAGGUAGGCUUUCAAAAUGCCCCAUGUGGGAGUUCCUGUUGUGGCUCAGCGGUUAAUGAACCUGACUAGCAUCCAUGAGGAUGUGGGUCCAAUUCCUGGCCACACUCAGUGGGUUAAGGAUCCAGCAUUGCACUGGCAGCCACAGCUCUGAUUUGACCCCUAGCCUGGGAACCUCCGUAUGCCAUAAGUGCAGCCCUAAAAAGACCCCUCCCC
rnacentral:lncRNA from 1 species